rnacentral:rRNA from 1 species
AGUGAACGCUGGCGGUAGGCCUAACACAUGCAAGUCGAACGGCAGCACAGUAAGAGCUUGCUCUUACGGGUGGCGAGUGGCGGACGGGUGAGGAAUACAUCUGAAUCUACUUUUUCGUGGGGGAUAACGUAGGGAAACUUACGCUAAUACCGCAUACGACCUACGGGUGAAAGCAGGGGAUCUUCGGACCUUGCGCGAUUGAAUGAGCCGAUGUCGGAUUAGCUAGUUGGCGGGGUAAAGGCCCACCAAGGCGACGAUCCGUAGCUGGUCUGAGAGGAUGAUCAGCCACACUGGAACUGAGACACGGUCCAGACUCCUACGGGAGGCAGCAGUGGGGAAUAUUGGACAAUGGGCGCAAGCCUGAUCCAGCCAUACCGCGGGGGUGAAGAAGGCCUUCGGGUGGUAAAGCCCUUUUGUUGGGAAAGAAAAGCAGCAGGUUAAUACCCCGCUGUUCUGACGGUACCAAAAGAAUAAGCACCGGCUAACUUCGU